AAGAAAAAGGAGCGGAAGUCAUUGCCAGAAGAAGAUGUAGCCGAAAUACAACACGCUGAAGAAUUUCUUAUCAAACCUGAAUCCAAAGUUGCUAAGUUGGACACGUCUCAGUGGCCCCUUUUGCUAAAGAAUUUUGAUAAGCUGAAUGUAAGGACAACACACUAUACACCUCUUGCAUGUGGUUCAAAUCCUCUGAAGAGAGAGAUUGGGGACUAUAUCAGGACAGGUUUCAUUAAUCUUGACAAGCCCUCUAACCCCUCUUCCCAUGAGGUGGUAGCCUGGAUUCGACGGAUACUUCGGGUGGAGAAGACAGGGCACAGUGGUACGCUGGAUCCCAAGGUGACUGGUUGUUUAAUCGUGUGCAUAGAACGAGCCACUCGCUUGGUGAAGUCACAACAGAGUGCAGGCCCUAGAAACUCUGACAGGUGCCUUAUUCCAGCGACCCCCACUUAUUGCUGCAGUAAAGAGGCAGCUCCGAGUGAGGACCAUCUACGAGAGCAAAAUGAUUGAAUACGAUCCUGAAAGAAGAUUAGGAAUCUUUUGGGUGAGUUGUGAGGCUGGCACCUACAUUCGGACAUUAUGUGUGCACCUUGGUUUGUUAUUGGGAGUUGGUGGUCAGAUGCAGGAGCUUCGGAGGGUUCGUUCUGGAGUCAUGAGUGAAAAGGACCACAUGGUGACAAUGCAUGAUGUGCUUGAUGCUCAGUGGCU
rnacentral:lncRNA from 1 species